rnacentral:lncRNA from 1 species
GGUUGCUAUUCCCCCUGCCUUGCCUUUACCUAAUGUUCAACCUGCCCGACCUAAUUAACCCUAUCAGCAUUGUGGUCAUUCGUAUGGUGAUUUGCCCUAUCGGCGUAUCAAUCACACCUGUUAUCAGUGCGGAAGCACCCAACAUCUUAUAAAAGAUAGGCCCCAAUGAUCGAAAGACGUGGCUAGGUCUGUAACUCAGGGUCACGUGUACCACCUAGAUGAAUCUGGU